ACAUUGAACAAGUGGUUACCCUGAGC
rnacentral:piRNA from 1 species